AGAUGAAUCAAAGAAGGUAAUAAUCCUGUAGUCGAAAAUGUUGUCUCUCUUGAGUGGAUCCUGAGUACGACGGAGCACGUGAAAUUCCGUCGGAAUCUGGGAGGACCAUCUCCUAAGGCUAAAUACUCUCUAGUGACCGAUAGUGAACCAGUACCGUGAGGGAAAGGUGAAAAGCACCCCGGAAGGGGAGUGAAAUAGAACCUGAAACCGUGUGCUUACAAGUAGUCAGAGCCCGUUAAUGGGUGAUGGCGUGCCUUUUGUAGAAUGAACCGGCGAGUUACGAUUUGAUGCAAGGUUAAGCAGUAAAUGUGGAGCCGUAGCGAAAGCGAGUCUGAAUAGGGCGUUUAGUAUUUGGUCGUAGACCCGAAACCAGGUGAUCUACCCUUGGUCAGGUUGAAGUUCAGGUAACACUGAAUGGAGGACCGAACCGACUUACGUUGAAAAGUGAGCGGAUGAACUGAGGGUAGCGGAGAAAUUCCAAUCGAACCUGGAGAUAGCUGGUUCUCUCCGAAAUAGCUUUAGGGCUAGCCUCAAGUGAUGAUUAUUGGAGGUAGAGCACUGUUUGGACGAGGGGCCCCUCUCGGGUUACCGAAUUCAGACAAACUCCGAAUGCCAAUUAAUUUAACUUGGGAGUCAGAACAUGGGUGAUAAGGUCCGUGUUCGAAAGGGAAACAGCCCAGACCACCAGCUAAGGUCCCAAAAUAUAUGUUAAGUGGAAAAGGAUGUGGCGUUGCCCAGACAACUAGGAUGUUGGCUUAGAAGCAGCCAUCAUUUAAAGAGUGCGUAAUAGCUCACUAGUCGAGUGACACUGCGCCGAAAAUGUACCGGGGCUAAACAUAUUACCGAAGCUGUGGAUUGUCCUUUGGACAAUGGUAGGAGAGCGUUCUAAGGGCGUUGAAGCAUGAUCGCAAGGACAUGUGGAGCGCUUAGAAGUGAGAAUGCCGGUGUGAGUAGCGAAAGACGGGUGAGAAUCCCGUCCACCGAUUGACUAAGGUUUCCAGAGGAAGGCUCGUCCGCUCUGGGUUAGUCGGGUCCUAAGCUGAGGCCGACAGGCGUAGGCGAUGGAUAACAGGUUGAUAUUCCUGUACCACCUAUAAUCGUUUUAAUCGAUGGGGGGACGCAGUAGGAUAGGCGAAGCGUGCGAUUGGAUUGCACGUCUAAGCAGUAAGGCUGAGUAUUAGGCAAAUCCGGUACUCAUUAAGGCUGAGCUGUGAUGGGGAGAAGACAUUGUGUCUUCGAGUCGUUGAUUUCACACUGCCGAGAAAAGCCUCUAGAUAGAAAAUAGGUGCCCGUACCGCAAACCGACACAGGUAGUCAAGAUGAGAAUUCUAAGGUGAGCGAGCGAACUCUCGUUAAGGAACUCGGCAAAAUGACCCCGUAACUUCGGGAGA
rnacentral:rRNA from 1 species